rnacentral:tRNA from 1 species
GCGGGGGUAGCAAAGUGGUCAAAUGCGCAGGACUUAAGAUCCUGUGGCUUAGUGCCUUCGUAGGUUCAAAUCCUACCUCCCGCA